GUAAUCUUAGCGCGGUCAGGCUGGGUCUUGCAGCGCUCACUCUUCCCAGGAUGCUUUUCGGAACCCAUCCACCAUCUGAGAGAUAACAAGAAGCUUCUCUAGGACUUGUGAUUUUGGUUUCAGCAGCUCCUUCCACGUUUGAGAAGAGUCUUCUCAUUUCUUACUCAUAGAACAUCCCAUCAGACAUUUCUCCUGAUCCACAUAGUAAUUCAGGGAUCCAGGCUUCUUCCACAAGAUGAUUCAACCAUCUUCUAUGGGCUCAGAGUCUUUUGAAUCCAGGCAGAAGAGAGAAUAAGGAACUCGCACCUGCUUCUUGAAAGUCUUCACCCUAAAGUGAUAUACAUCACUUCUGCUCUCAGUCCAUUGAACAGAACUUGUCUUAUGUCUUCAACUAGCUGCAAGGGCCUCUGGGAAAUGUAGUCCUGGUCUAGGCAGUCAAUAAACAUCCUGCUGCUGGCCACAGAAGGCCUUUCUAAGAUGUUCUUUGAGCUGAGACGUGAGAGCCAAAGUGUGAGAGCUACUUGAAAACUGUGAAAAUGGAGUUACCAAAGUGGGAACAGCAAGUG
rnacentral:lncRNA from 1 species